rnacentral:rRNA from 1 species
UACGGUAGGGUGCGAGCGUUGUCCCGGAAUUACUCGGGCGUAAAGAGCUCGUAGGUGGUUUGUCACGUCGUCUGUGAAAUUCCGGGGCUUAACCUCGGGCGUACAGGCGAUACGGGCAAUACUUGAGUGCUGUAGGGGAGACUGGAAUUCCUGGUGUAGCGGUGAAAUGCGCAGAUAUCAGGAGGAACACCAAUGGCGAAGGCAGGUCUCUGGGCAGUUACUGACGCUGAGGAGCGAAAGCAUGGGUAGCGAACAGGAUUAGAUACCCGGGUA